rnacentral:rRNA from 1 species
CCUACGGGGUGCAGCUGUAGGGAAUCUUUCACAAUGGGCGAAAGCCUGAUGGAGCAACGCCGCGUGCAGGAUGAAGGCCUUCGGGUUGUAAACUGCUUUUAUAAGCUAGAAAUAUGAUGGUAACUUAUGAAUAAGGCUCGGCUAACUACGUGCCAGCAGCCGCGGUCAUACGUAGGAUCCGAGCAUUAUCCGGAGUGACUGGGUGUAAAGAGUUGCGUAGGUGGCAUAAUAAGUAGCUAGUGAAAUCUGGUGGCUCAACCAUUCAGACUAUUAGCUAAACUGUUAAGCUCGAGACCGUUAGGGGUAACUGGAAUUUCUAGUGUAGGAGUGAAAUCCGUAGAUAUUAGAAGGAACACCAAUAGCGUAGGCAGGUUGCUGGGACGGUUCUGACACUAAGGCACGAAAGCGUAGGGAGCAAACGGGAUUAGAUACCCUAGUAGUC